rnacentral:lncRNA from 1 species
GAAACUCCACAUUGCUCCAAGAUCCAAUGAGUCUUUUGUAUACAUUAUAUUGUAAGUUUGUAACUGUUUUUUUUGUUUUUGUUGGAACCAUUGUUUUGGGAUUGCUCGAUCUGGAUGAACCCAUUCCUAUAUUGGCCAAAAGAGAUUAAAAAUGAUAUAAAGUGGCCAAAAAAAAAAAAAAUGAAUACAAUAUAUAUCUAACUAACUUGUGAGUUUAAUAAUUUACAAAAUUUUCGAAUUAGGAAGUAAGCUAGAUUCUAGUCUAGGGCUAUGUAACGUGAAUAUACCUUUCGUGUUAGAACUUAAUAGUAGUUUUUUACGGUAUUAAUUUAUUUCCUAAUUCUACUAAACUGUUCACGUUAAAAGCACAUGCAGUACACCCCUGCAACAUUUUAUAUUGUCUUUUGCUGAUUUAGCACAAUAAUUGGGAAAAUAAUACUAGCCAGCUCUACUAAACGUAUAAUAUUUCAAAAGAUAUUGGAUAAUUCGA